ACCCUCAGUGAAACAUAGCAGUUUCUCUGAAACUGCUAUGUUUUCAGCUGCAGGGUUAAAACUAGAGGGACCUGACACCCAGACAACUUCAUUGAGCUGAUGUGAUCUGGGUGUCUGUAGUGGUCCUUUAAAGGACCACUAUAGUGCCAGGAAAACAUACUCGUUUUCCUGGCACUAUAGUGCCCUGAGGGUGCCCCCACCCUCAGGGACCCCCACCUGCCC
rnacentral:lncRNA from 1 species